rnacentral:lncRNA from 1 species
AAUCAAUUCUUCACUACACAGGGGAGUUUUACCUUUUGUUUUUUUUAAUUCGAGAUCGAGUGCUAUAACACACUGUUCUGUUUAAUCUUUGCUCUCUUCUUUGACCUGUUUCUUCUCUUUCCAAGUUGGCUUCAGGUCACAUGUUGCUCUGGAGAACCGAGAAGGGUGAGCAGACACCAAUCAUGACCCCAAACAGCAAGAGGACAGAAGACUCCAAGUUCUUCAGUUUUGGAACUCGGACUGGCUCUCCUUACUCCUCAGCCUGCAGAUG